rnacentral:lncRNA from 1 species
CCGUGGGUCUGCCUGCAUCGCUAGCCUGACUUCACCGCCACCCAAGGUAUAACCGCACAUUCUAUUUGUGUCGUCGUUUACGUAACCGAGUUAGGCGUCUCCCGUUCGAAAGAGAUACGGUUGGAAACGACCGUAUCUAUUUCGAAUUGUCCACGUUAUUUGGACAGCCCGAGGAUGCGUAGAUGGGGUUAGUUUCCAGGUCCACUCCGAUCUGAGAUAGAGUUUCAGCAUCACCUCCCUGUUGUUCUCCGGGUACACAACCUCCCCGUCGAGACGUGUAUUUGGAGAACAGCGGGGAGGUGCUGCCGAAAUUUCGUCUCAGAUCGGAGUUGACAUGGAAACUAACUCCAUCUACGCAUCCUCGGGUGGGAUUAGGACCUAUCCUCACCUAUUAGUUAAUAGGGCUAUCGUGUAGAUGCAUUCUGUUCUUACAUUACUGCAUGAUAUGUUAGAGGAUGGAUGACCAUCAGUGGAUGUACACUGGCCGGCCAAGUCAGAGAGACAUCUCCUUGGAAUGGAUUGAGAAGAUCGAGGCUUUCUUAGAGCAAGCAUUCGCCAGGGCUAAAGGCGCCCGUAUGACCUGGUGUCCAUGCGUGAAGUGUGCAAACACGCGGAAGCGUACGAAGGAGGUCAUGGGGCAGCAUCUUUGCAAGUUUGGGUUUAUGCAGGGCUAUACCCGAUGGACCUACCACGGUGAAGGUGAUCGCACGAGGGAGGAGGUUGUGAGACCACGUGUCGAUGGUUUUGAUGAUCUUGGGCUAGUCGAAAUUCGACAGGAUUCCGUCUUACCAGGAGAUGAUGUAUACAUUGUGGCCCAAAAGGCCACACAAGUUUAUUAUACGUCGUACCCGUGCAAAACUGAUGCACGUCUUAAGGGUUGGGAUGUUGUGCACAAGGUAUCGCCGCACGGUGGAGUACCGGUACCAAACAAGGAAGAUUACAACCUUGACACGGACACAUAUGAAGGGGAGUUCUAUCAAGAAGAGGGUCUAGAAGGGACUUUUGUGAUAGACUUAACUGAAGCCAUGGAUGUGGCCAUUAUUGUUGAAGAUGACGAUGACGUUGAGGUUGAAGAUGUGAGGGACUUACAAUUACUUGAGCAGUUAUGCUUAGACAAUGACAAUAACGAUAUCGAUGCUCCUCCAGUUAGUGAUGAGUACCUAGACAUGGCUGGUACAGAUGAUGAGAUGGAGGAUGCACCGAAUGCCGGUUAUGAAGAUGAUGAUUAUUUCUAAUACAUGUAAUAUUAUGUUAUCAUUAAUUUGCAUCUCUAUCUAAGUACAUGAUGUUUAAUUGUGGUUACUGAUUUACUCUUCUUACAUGCAGGUCACUGAACAAAGAUGGUGGGCGGCAUGAGGAACGUGAGGUCACGGUACGCCCGACCGAGGGAGGAGCCUCAGGAGCAGCCUGAGGGGUCGGGGAGCAGGUCGAGGAGCCGGUCGAGGCGGACCUCGAGCAGGAGGACCAGGAGCGUUAGCAGUCUUCAGGGAGAGACACCCAUGGUGCAGCAGCAGGAGACGCCCACCUGGGAGUAGGAGGAGCAGGAGACGACCACCGGGGCGCACGAGGAGCAGGAGCAGGAGCAGGAGCAGGAGGAGGAGGACGAGGACGAGGACGAGGACGAGGACGACGGGGCCCCGCCAGAUAUCUGGCAACGAGGUCCCAAUCAGCUUCCCAAUCGACCGAUAUUCAUCGACCAUCGCCCAUUGAUUCGGCCACGAGGGCAAAAGUAUGUUUCAAAGCACUACUUCGACAUUCCUUAUGUUCAAAUUCACAAUAUGAACUACUAAUUUUGGUUAACCACUUGUGCAGGUCCUUUAAGGUACUAGUAGCGGGUGUUGCUCACCAACGACACCCUAGUACCAUCCUUGGUGGCUUGUGCAGGUUGCACUUCCCUGGCGUGGUCACUCUUGCGGGGGCUCCGGAGCCGGCAUGGACAUUUCAGCACUACGGAGGCGCGCCGGAUACCACAGAUGUACUUGGCAGGAACUUCGGCAACAAGGCCUUGAGGGUGAUCAAGGAGAUGUGGGUAAGAAUUCCUCGCACUUGCUCACCACUUCACAUUCUUUAGUCCUUCUAUACAUAAUGACUGUCUACAUCACGUGUACAUGCAGGAUUUCUUUAGAGUGGAGCCCAAAUAUGAGGAACAGGCCAAUCACAUUUUUGGAACAAAAUGUGUCAAGAGCAUCAAGGACAUGCACUACGAGGCUGAAAGCCCUAGUUUGGUUUUGGAUAAUUGAUGAAACCCUAGUACUAACCUCUAUACUAAGUGUGUGUAGACUUAAUGAGGUUGGUACAUGCCAAGUGAUGGAGCAAGUGAUGAUCAUGGUGAUGAUGGUGAUGACCACAAGAUGAUCAAGUGCUCAACUUGGAAAAGAAGAAAGAGAAAAACAAAAUCCUAUGGAGAUCAAGGCAAAGGUAUUGCUUAGGGUUUUGUUUUUGGUGAUCAAGACACCAUAGAGGGUGUGAUCACAUUUAGGAUAGAUAGCCGUACUAUAAAGAGGGGAAUUCUUUGGCUAAGCGGUUAUCAAGUGCCACUAGGUGUUAUUGUUCAUGUGCAUACAUUUAGAACCUAGUGAGCUAACUUAACUCCUUCGAAGAAAAUGAUUGUGAAAUUGCUAACACACGUGCACUUGUUGGUUUACACGUUGUGGUGUUGGCACACUUUGAUUCGGCGCUUUUCGAGAAAAUGAAGUGCAUAUUUUCUAUUGUGCCGGAGGGAAAUUUGGAGAAGUCGCGGGAGUGUUUCUCGCUGAGGAACACUCACCGGACGCUGGCUCAGAGGCACCGGACGCUGUGUCUGAGCGUCCGGUGUGCAGGCUGCCCGACUCGGUUAGGGUUAGGCACCGGACGAUAGGCACCGGACGCUGGCUUGAGCGUCCGGUGGUUAGCGUCCGGUGUGCGGGCGUUUUGCGACCCUCUCUGCGCAUGGGUCCGGUGAGCACCGGACGCUGAGGGUGCGUCCGGUGACCCUGCGAGUUUGUGGAGCUCUCUGCGCAUGAGUCCGGUGUGCACCGGACGCGUCCGGUGCCAACCUGCUCAGCGUCCGGUGCUCUGCAGGUUACCGUUAGAUUCUGACACGCGGCUGACGUUGGAGCACCGAACGCAAGGGCUGAGCGUCCGGUGCCCCUUUAAGAGCGUCCGGUGACCCCGUGUUUCGCCCAGUGAAAGAGCCAACGGCUCUAUUUGCUUGAGGGGGUAUAAAUACGUGUUUGGCCGGCUUGGGGCUUACUCUCUUGGCAUUCUAACAGACAUAACAUCCUUGUGAGCCUAAGCAAACACCUCCCACUCAUCUCCUUCAUAGAUUAAACAUCUUUGUGAGAUUGGGAGUGAUUCCAAGUGCAUUUGCUUGAGUGAUUGCAUCUAGUGGCACUUGGGGAUCGAUUUGGCUGCGGUUUUCUUGUUACUCUUGGUGGUUGCCGCCACCUAGACGGCUUGGAGCAGCGGAGGAGGAUUGGCACGAGUUGGUGAUUGUUCGUGGCCAUCUCCCGGUGAUUGUGAGAGGUUUGUGCCUACCUCGGCGGAGAGCCAAAGGCAACAUUAGUGGAUUGCUCGUGUCAUUGAGCUACCUCACUUGUGGGUAGGUUCUUGUGGUGUCCUAGUGAGGACGAGGUUCGUGCUACACCUCUUAGCCACCGAACCACCAAGUGUUGGUCGACACAACGGGGACGUAGCGUGCCGGCAAGCACGUGAACCUCGGGAGAAAAAUCGGUGUCUCAAUUGUGUUUGAUUGGCAUUCUCCCGGUGCUUGAUUGUUUAUAUUGGUGAUUGGUUCAUCCCCUACACGGCGGUAUAAAUAUCUCAUCUUAUCUUUACUUACCGCAAACUAGUGUAAUUAGUUUAGUUGCUUACUUUGACUUGUGUAGCUUAGUUCUCUAGUGUAUCUUGUAAAGUCUUAGUUCUUGUGUGCAUAGAGAUCUUAGCAACUAGAAUUGUUGGGUAGGUGGCUUGCAAACACCCCUUUAGAGCUAGAGCAAAAAGCUUCGCUUUGUUAUUUACUAACCUUUUGCUCUAGUGAGUUUGUAGAAUUUUUUAAAUAGGCUAUUCACCCCCCCUCUAGCCAUAUUAGGACCUUUCAGAGGCGCGCAUCCAGGCAAUCAUAAAUUACAAGGCCCAGUACGAGCAUGUGAAGAUACACAAAGAUGUCGCCAGGGACACUACACUGACCAAGGAACAGUUCAUGCUUGUAAGUAACAUUAAUUUCUUGGUAGUUUAAGUAACGUUAAUUUGGUCUUGUUAAAUUUCAUGUUCUUGAUCACGUGUAGGUGCCACCGCAUUGGGUGGAGGGCAAAGGGAUGUGCUGGGAAAUGAUGGUGGACUGGUGGUGCAGCCAGGAAUGGUGGGACCAGCACGACGCUGCCCGCGUGCGACGCAGAAAGAUGCCAGGUCCAUCACACCAUCAAGGGAGCCUUACCCUCGAGGAAUACAUAGAAAGAUAUGUAAGUAUAAGGAUUUAUUGAUUUAUUCUAACGGUCAUAUGUGCAUACCCUCUAAUCAUCUUCUUGUUUUUUUCGCAGGAAGCCGCACACCCUGGGCAGGAUAUAGGCCCGUUGGGGGCCUAUGCUCUGUCCAAGAAGGGGAAGGCGACAGCCGACAUCACCUACAGCUCGGACGACCCUCCUGAGGCGUACACCAACUCCACCGUCCAUAGCCGGAUCAGCUCAUACUGUGAUUCAGCACAUGCGAUCCAUGGCCCUGACUUCGAUCCCUAUAAUGAGGCCAUUAGUGGAGAAGCAGCCAUGAGGGCAGGGGGAGGCAAGCAACAUGGGCGGUACUGGGUUGCCGACCCCUUGAUUGACUCCUCGAGGACUCCUACUCUCUCCCAGAUCAGAGCAAAGGACAGGCGCCAGGGCCAAAGCAGCUCUGGGGUACGCUCGAGGCCGACCGCAGCCGACUGCAUCAUCACCAACCUCCAGGUUCUCACUGUUUCAUUCACGCUCAAUCGUUCAAUCAUAACAUAGCUUUGUAACACAAGUGUUCAACCUUGUAGGCCCAGCUUUCGCAAAAGGAAGUCAGGAUCACCGAGUUAGAGACACAAUACAGGGAGAUGGCCAUCUACAUGCGAACUCGUGGGCUCAGAUGGGAGCACCUCCGCCACCAAACUUGUACGUUCCACCCGCUUUAGGUGGACCUAGCCCAGUGAGUUUCACUUCACUUAACCAUGCAAUCUCUACCAUUGUAGAUGUAGAUGUAAUUGUGGUUGCAUGCCAUCGAGCCGCUGUGGAUGUCGGCCGGCCAUCGUGCCGCUGUGCUUGUCGGCCUUCGUGCUGAUGCUUUUCUUGCAGGUCUUGGGAACCUCCCCGUGCACGGGAGGUGCUGCCAAAAUUUUCAUUUGAAACCACUAUGUAUAUCUUCAACUUCAAGUAUUUAAUCUCAAAAUUCACUUAUGACACGUUUGUCUCAUCCUUUGUGCAGCUUCACUCCCAGGGUUCUACUCAAGCGCCCAAUGAGCAAAGUCCUCAAGACGGUGGGUGGAGCGACCAUGUCAAUCCGUACCAACCUCCAGGCGAUUCAUGGGGCAGACGAGAUGGAUUCGGUUGGUGAACUUGUAGUUUGUUCAUGGAAUUUGUCGUUUUAUCGGACGUGUUGUUGAACUUGUGGUUUCCUCAGACUUGUGAUGGACUUGCUGAUGAACAUGUGUUUAUGUAUGUGACAUGUACGUUAUAUGUAUGUGAGAGAUUUGGUAUAUCGUGGUUAUUGUGGCAAGUGUGUGAUAUAUUGUGAUAUUUGUGUG